AUAAAUAUUUGACAAAAAAGGAAGAAGAGAGGAAAUUUCUGCUAAUUACAUAAGUGGACUUAAUUACAUCACUUUAGCCAGGGAAGGAUGUAGAUGGUCCAGAUGGUCAUCCUCCCUCCAGUCAAGUAUUUUGCCUUGCCAAACUAACCGAAGAUUUACCAGCAGCGUACAAAUUGAAAGAUGCUUAAUUAGUUUGUUCUAAUCUGAAACUGAUUUGUUUGUAAUUAUUUGGUGAGUAGACCCAGUAGUGUUUUAUUGUUAGGCAGCAGAAACGAGGAGGUGCAGGCCUGGUGAAGUAAAAGGUGUUGAGCUUGCAAGAAAAACGAGAGAGAGAGAGAGAGAGAGAGAGAGAGAGAGAUGGGUUUAAUUUCAUCAAAAACGAGGAGGCAGAGAAGGAAGGAAAGGAAGGAAGAAUAAACCAUGAUGAUCAUCUAUGAGAUCUAUGUCUUUAUGUCUAUGAAGUCUAUGAUUUGAUUAAUCCUUUCUUCCUUCUCUUUCUUGUGAAAAUGCUUCUUCUCUAGCUAGGUUGAAUAGGAACGAACCAUCCAAUCUCCCAUGACUUUUCUAUUGAGUCUUCUCUGAAUUAAAAGUUGAAUCCCCACCUUUUCCUUCCUCCUUCAAUCACUUUCUCUCUUCUCAAUAUUAAUUACUCCAUUACACCCACACCCACAUCCCAGCCAACUCCUCCCUCGUCUCAUUUAUUACGUCCCCUCCCUCCCUUAAAUAGAACCAAAAUCCAUCUCCUCUCCCCCUCACCUUAAUAAUCAUCAUCCUCCUUCCUUCCAUAUCUGUUUGUUAGUUUUGAUAUGUUGAUUAGUAUGCAAACAACAGUUUGUGAGAAAUUCUAUGAUCAAGAUCUUCAUGUAUGGUUUAACAAAGGGUUUCUUACAGAGUUCUUUGGCAUUCUGUCCACCUCCUAUCAAUCUCGAUCGAGAUUUCUGUGUUUAUAUGGAGAUAUAUGGAGGUGGGCAUACUGCCAACUGAGCUCUGCUGGUCUCUCUUUGUAAAACCCUCGUGAUAUAAAUUUACCAGCUUUGCCCCAAUAUGCGACGUUUUAUGUAUGCUGAAUCGCUGAUCUCUUUUUUCUAGCUACUACUUAGCUCCUAUGAUAAAUACGAAGCUUAGUCUGUGGGUGCGUCUAACAGAUCAGUGGAAGUUGUGGAGCCACAAGCUUAUAUGAAUCCUUCGUAACUCGGUUGUUUCUGAAAGCAUGCUGUUUCAUCUUCUUAUAUUUUUACUUAUUGAAAGUGUGGAACCCUAGUUUUCAUUUGUGAUCUGGGUCUCCUUUGUUAUCCUUUUUUUUUUUUGGUUAACCUCCUUUGUUAUCCUUUAAUUUGACAUAUUCUUUACUUACCCUCAUCAUCAAAUAGGUGCUAGUUUUUUCUAUCUUUGUUCAUCUCAGUUCACAGUAAUUACUUGUGAUCUUGUACGGCUGAUUAUUGGAUUACAUUCCCAUUUGUAUAUGUUUGCUAGGGCAAGUUCAUAUAGUUCUUUACUUUCUUCUAUUGGGUCAAAAGGGGUCAAGAAAUGUACCAUUCCCCAGAUUCAGAGCUGACAAAAAUGAUGGAUAUUUCCAUACAUCAGAGCUACUGGAUCUAAAUUUGAUAAAUAAUCCUGUUUACUAUAAAAUUGAGUAAUAGUGUAUACCAAUUUGUAACUGGGAUAUGAUUGGGAUUGUUCAUUAUAAAUUUGGUAGGUCUGCAAGUUGUUUCAAUGGGAUCAGUCUAGUCUAGGGCAGCCUUAACCAGUACCACUAGCUCAAAGAAAGCUCUCGAGAGAAGAACAAAAGUCGUUUCUACUCCAUAUGCGAAGGGUCGAAGGCUCAUGAUUGAAAGCCUGACAAAGGCCAUUAGAUAUUUUCCCAAACAUUAUCCCCACGCCCCUUAAUGGCGCGUUAAAUUUCUGGACUCUGGAGGAUGCAUGGUUUGAAUCAUGGUGUAUUAAGAAUGGACAACAUCGUUUUACAGCUUUAAGAGAAAAGGGCAAAAGGCUAAUAUAACUUUGAGACAAAAUAAGCAUGCAUGAUUUAGUCUUGCUCUAACUUGCUCAAAGCUAGCGCUUUAUGUUGAAGCACGAGGUCGCUUUCCGCUCUCACUGUGAUGGCCACAAUCCUUUUGCUGCUGUCCCUCGCUCCAUCUUCACAGUUUUUGAAAGGCUAUGAGACAGAGGGAGAGUGACAGAUAUCAAACUAGCUAGCUGACAAUGUCCAUGUUUGGUAGCUGCAAGUAGAAUAAGGAUAAGAAUGUGAACAUUUUACUCUGCAAGAAAGGCAAGGGAAUCAACAGAAAGGAAAUCAAGUCCAUGUAUAUAAUUAUUCGUUUUCGUGAUUGAUGGAUGGGAUGGAGGCAUGUUUUGAAACUCUGCAUCUCUUCUAGGAAAGCAUUGGAACAAUGAAAAAGAGGUUAAAUUUUUUUUUAUAAGAUAAUUAAGUGUCCCCAAGAACUGCUGAUUAAGUACCACCCACAGAGCCAAAUGAUUAAACUUGAAGCUUUCUCCACACAGCUGCUAGUAUCCAAUCCGGGACAGAGAUUAGUAUUAUUUGCUUACACUAAAAGUAAGUGAGAGCACUGCAUGGUAUGCAUGCCUAAUAAUGGAUUCUAGUUUACCAAGAAUUUGAAAUAUAAAGUCAUCAUAGCUUAAACUCUCGAAGUGAGGAUUUGUUGAUGGUUUUAUAAUACCAUUGGUGGUUGUUUUUUUUUUUUUUUUU